rnacentral:rRNA from 1 species
UACGUAGGGGGCAAGCGUUGUCCGGAAUUAUUGGGCGUAAAGCGCGCGCAGGCGGUUUCUUAAGUCUGAUGUGAAAGCCCACGGCUUAACCGUGGAGGGUCAUUGGAAACUGGGGAACUUGAGUACAGAAGAGGAGAGUGGAAUUCCACGUGUAGCGGUGAAAUGCGUAGAUAUGUGGAGGAACACCAGUGGCGAAGGCGACUCUCUGGUCUGUAACUGACGCUGAGGUGCGAAAGCGUGGGGAGCGAACAGG